rnacentral:RNase_P_RNA from 1 species
CCAGACGGUCGGAUGGCCGCUUCUUGCGCUUGCGCGGGAAGAGGAAAGUCCGGGCUCCACGGAGGUACGGUGCCGGGUAACGCCCGGCGGGGGCGACCCCAGGGAAAGUGCCACAGAAAGUACACCGCCAACCCGUCUCGGCACGCCGGGCGGGCGGCAAGGGUGAAACGGUGCGGCAAGAGCGCACCGCGCCGCCGGCAACGGCGGCGGCAGGGAAAACCCCACCGGGAGCAAGACCAAAUAGGAGCGGCAGGCAUCCCGGAGCGAUCCGAGAUGCCGGGCGGGCCUUCGCGCCGCCGCUCGGGUCGGUCGCACGAGGCGUUCGGCGACGGGCGCCCCAGAGGAAUGGCCAUCACCGCCCUUUGGGAAACCAGAGAGCGGGACAGAACCCGGCUUACACGCCGUCUGGCGCU